rnacentral:rRNA from 1 species
CUACGUAGGGGGCAAGCGUUGUCCGGAAUUACUGGGCGUAAAGAGCUCGUAGGCGGCUCAGCAAGUCGGUCGUGAAAGCCCGAGGCUCAACCUCGGAACUGCGGUCGAUACUGCUGUGGCUUGAGUCCGGUAGAGGAGAGUGGAAUUCCCGGUGUAGCGGUGGAAUGCGCAGAUAUCGGGAGGAACACCAGUGGCGAAGGCGGCUCUCUGGGCCGGUACUGACGCUGAGGGGCGAAAGCGUGGGGAGCAAACAGGAUUAGAAACCCUAGUAGUCC